rnacentral:lncRNA from 1 species
GGCGCGGCUUUACCCAUGGCAUAUUUUUAGCACGCGGAUGCCCCUCGCAAAGUCUCGCGGCAUUCCGAGUCCGGCGGACGAAGUUGGCCAGCAUCACCCCCCAAGGCUAUAGCCCACCCGUUUUUGUGGCCUUUUUCCGCUGGACGAACUUGGCGCCCCGGCCGUCAGGCGGUUAUUUUUGGGCGCGUCUUUUCCCGCGGCCUAUUUUUGGCACACGGAGGCCCCUCACAAUGUCUUGCGGCAUUCCGAGUCCGGCGGACGAAGUUGGCCAGCAUCACCCCCCAAGGCUAUAGCCCACCCGUUUUUGUGGCCUUUUUCCGCUGGCCGAACUUGCCGCCCCAGCCUUCGGGCGGUUAAUUUGGGGCAUGGCUUUGCCCGCAGCCUAUUUUUGGCACAUGGAGGCCGCUCGCAAAGUCUAGCGGCAUUCCGAGUCCGGCGGACGAAGUGGGCCAGCAUCACUCCCCAAGGCUAUUGCCCACCCGUUUUUGUGGCCUUUUUCCGCUGGACGAACUUGGCGCCCCGGCCUUCGGGCGGUUAAUUUUGGGCACGGCUUUGCCCGUGGUCUAUUGUUGGCAUACGGACGCCCCUCGCAAAGUCUCGCGGCAUUCCGUGUCCGGCGGACGAAGUUGGCCAGUAUCACCCCCCAAGGCUAUAGCCCACCCGUUUUUGUGGCCUUUUUCCGCUGGACGAACUUGGCGCCCCGGCUGUCGGGCGUUUAUUUUUGGGCGCGGCUUUUCCCACGGCCUAUUUUUGGCACACGGAGGCCCCUCGCAAAGUCUUGCGGCAUUCCAAGUCCGCCGAACGAAGUUAGCCAGCCCCACCCCCCAAGGCUAUAGCCCACCCGUUUUUGUGGCCUUUUUCCGCUGGACGAACUUGGCGCUCCGGCCUUCGGGUGGUUAAUUUUGGGCGCGGCUUUGCCCGCGGCCUAUUUUUAGCACGCGGAUGCCCCUCUUAAAGUCUUGCGGCAUUCCAAGUCCGGCGGAUAAAGUUGGCCAGCAUCACCCCCCAAGGCUAUAGCCCACCCGUUUUUGUGGCCUUUUUCCGCUGGACGAACUUGUCGCCCCGGCCUUCGGGCGGUUAAUUUUGGGCGCGGCUUUGCCCGCGGCAUAUUUUUAGCACGCGCAUGCCCCUCGCAAAGUCUCGCAGUAUUCUGAGUCCGGCGGACGAAGUUGGCCAGCAUCACCUCCCAAGGCUAUAGCCCACCCGUUUUUGUGGCCUUUUUCCGCUGGACGAACUUGGCGCCCCGGCCGUCGGGCGGUUAUUUUUGGGUGUUGUUUCACCCGCAGCUUAUUUUUGGCACACGGAGGCCCCUCGCAAAGUCUAGCAGCAUUCCGAGUCCGCUGGACGAAGUGGGCCAGCAUCACUCCCCAAGGCUAUUGCCCACCCGUUUUUGUGGCCUUUUUCCGCUGGACGAACUUGGCGCCCCGGCCUUCGGGCGGUUAAUUUUGGGCACGGCUAUGCCCAUGGUCUAUUGUUGGCACACGGAGGCCCCUCGCAAAGUCUCGCGGCAUUCCGAGUCCGGCGGACGAACUUGGCCAGUAUCACCCCCCAAGGCUAUAGCCCACCCGUUUUUGUGGCCUUUUUCCGCUGGACGAACUUGGCGCCCCGGAUGUCGGGCGGUUAUUUUUGGGCGCGGCUUUGCCCGUGGUUUAUUUUUGGCACAUGGAGGCCCCUCGUAAAGUCUCACGGCAUUCCGAGUCCGGCGGACGAAGUUGGCCAGCAUUAUCCCCCAAGGCUAUAGCCCACCCGUUUUUGUGGCCUUUUUCCGCUGGACGAACUUGGCGCCCCGGCCGUCGGGCGGUUAUUUUUGGGCGCGCCUUUGCCCGUGGCCUAUUUUUAGCACGCGGAUGCCCCUCGCAAAGUCUCACGGCAUUCCGAGUCCGGGGGACGAAGUUGGCCAGCAGCACCCCCCAAGACUAUAGCCCACCCGUUUUUGUGGCCUUUUUCCGCUGGACGAACUUGGCGCCCCGGCCUUCGGGCGGUUAAUUUUGUGCGCGGCUUUGCCCGCGGCCUAUUUUUGGCACAGGGAGGCCCCUCGCAAAGUCUCGCGGCGUUCCGAGUCCGGAAGACAAAGUUGGCGAGCAUCACCCCCCAAGGCUAUAGCCCACCCGUUUUUGUGGCCUUUUUCCGCGGGACGAACUUGGCGCCCCGGCCGUCGGGUGGUUAUUUUUGGGUGUGGCUUCGCCAGUGGCCUAUUUUUGGCACACGGAGGCCCCUCGCAAAGUCUCGCGGCAUUCCGAGUCCGGCGGACGAAGUUGGCCAGCCCCACCCCCCAAGGCUAUAGCCCACCCGUUUUUGUGGCCUUUUUCCGCUGGACGAACUUGGCGCCCCGGCUGUCGGCCGGUUAUUUUUGGACGCGGCUUUGCCCGUGGCCUAUUUUUGGCACACGGAGGCCCCUCGCAAAGUCUCGCGGCAUUCCGAGUCCGGCGGACGAAGUUGGCCAGCAUCACCCCCCAAGGCUUUAGCCCACCCGUUUUUGUGGCAUUUGUCCGCUGGACGAACUUGGCGCCCCGGCCUUCGGGCAGUUAAUUUUGGGCGCGGGUUUGCCCGCGGCCUAUUUUUGGCACACGGAGGCCCCUUGCAAAGUCACGUGGCAUUCUGAGUCCGGCGGACGAAGUUGGCCAGCCCCACCCCCCAAGGCUAUAGCCCACCCGUUUUUGUGGCCUUUUUCCGCUGGACGAACUUGACGCCCCGGCCUUCGGGCUGUUAUUUUUGGGCGCGGCUUUGCCCGUGGCCUAUUUUUGGCACACGGAGGCCCCUCGCAAAGUCUCGCGGCAUUCCGAGUCCGGCGGACGAAGUCGGCCAGCCCCACCCCCCAAGGCUAUUGCCCACCCGUUUUUGUGGCCUUUUUCCGCUGGACGAACUUGGCGCCCCGGCCUUCGGGUGGUUAAUUUUUGGCACGGCUUUGCCCGCGGCCUUUUUUUGGCAAACGGAGGCCCCUCGCAACGUCUCGCGGCAUUCCGAGUCCGGCGGACGAAGUUGGCCAGCCCCACCCCCCAAGGCUAUAGCCCACCCGUUUUUGUGGCCUUUUUCCGCUGGACGAACUUGGCGCCCCGGCCGUCGGGCGGUUAUUUUUGGGUGUGGCUUCAACCGCAGCCUAUUUUUGGCACACGGAGGCCCCUCGCAAAGUCUAGCGGCAUUCCGAGUCCGCUGGACGAAGUGGGCCAGCAUCACUCCCCAAGGCUAUUGCCCACCCGUUUUUGUGGCCUUUUUCCGCUGGACGAACUUGGCGCCCCGGCCUUCGGGCGGUUAAUUUUGGGCACGGCUAUGCCCAUGGUCUAUUGUUGGCACACGGAGGCCCCUUGCAACGUCUCGCGGCAUUCCGAGUCCGGCGGACGAACUUGGCCAGUAUCACCCCCCAAGGCUAUAGCCCACCCGUUUUUGAGGCCUUUUUCCGCUGGACGAACUUGGCGCCCCGGAUGUCGGGCGGUUAUUUUUGGGCGCGGCUUUGCCCGUGGUUUAUUUUUGGCACAUGGAGGCCCCUCGUAAAGUCUCACGGCAUUCCGAGUCCGGCGGACGAAGUUGGCCAGCAUCAUCCCCCAAGGCUAUAGCCCACCCGUUUUUGUGGCCUUUUUCCGCUGGACGAACUUGGCGCCCCGGCCGUCGGGCGGUUAUUUUUGGGCGCGCCUUUGCCCGUGGCCUA